CAGCAGCCACGGGAACACGGAGGGUGCAAGCGUUAAUCGGAAUUACUGGGCGUAAAGCGCACGCAGGCGGUCUGACAAGUCAGAUGUGAAAUCCCCGGGCUUAACCUGGGAACUGCAUUUGAAACUGUCAGGCUGGAGUCUUGUAGAGGGGGGUGGAAUUCCAGGUGUAGCGGUGAAAUGCGUAGAGAUCUGGAGGAAUACCGGUGGCGAAGGCGGCCCCCUGGACAAAGACUGACGCUCAGGUGCGAAAGCGUGGGGAGCAAACAGGAUUAGAUACCCGCGUAGUUCCUGUCUCUUAUAA
rnacentral:rRNA from 1 species